CUCCUCCGCAAGCUGUCAACAAAGGAGAAGCAGGUUUGGCAUCCGGAGGCCGCUCGGCUGCCUGUCCUGCGCCCAGCUCAGCCCGGACCCAUCGGCCACCUUAAGUAGCCAAGGGGGCAAGGAAAAUGCUGCCAGGGCCCGGGAAUUCGAGUCGGGCCUUGCGAGCCCAGCUGGCUUGGCCCCCGGGGGAAUAGAAGGUCUAGCGUUGGGGUUAGGGGGGAGCUCAGAACACAGGAAGAGUGGGUGAGGGCAGUAGGGACAGGGAAUCCCCCCCAUUCGCAUCACCUGUCACCGCACACAUCCUGCACACCUCCCUCUUCAUCUGUAAUUUGAGUGAGGGGUGAGUGGGGAGGAACGGGGCUUGUCUGGUAGGGUUGAGACUAGAGUCUUGGAAUUUGUGGGAGCAAAUUUCCUCUUCUUGUAAAUUAAAAAAAGAAAAAGGCCAACAAGCUGUCAAAUAAGGCUUGAAGUUGUUGUUAUUAUUAUUAUUGCAAUGAGAAGAUGAACCUUGCUCUGAAUUGAAUCUCAAACUUCCAGCCCUGAUAGGGAUCCUGGGCAUCUGGUGAGAGGUUUCGGGAUUCUGGAUGACAAUGUCUCGGUGCCCUCAAGGCCACUGAUUCCUCGCCACACAGUCUCAGUAACUCCGCAGCCUCUAGACACGGCUUUCCGGAAGCGGCCUGCAAGCUGGACCCCAGCGAGUUCGCAGGAUCUGCGUAGUCCCUGCUCGCGAUUAGAGCGCACACGAGUUUACUCCUGUCCAAGUAUUCUGAUAAGCUUCCUCUACUGCCCUCUCGUGGCCACAGUCCUCAGUGGUAUAAAUCUAAAAAACAACAAAAAUCACUGCGAAUACCUAAAAGCAAUUGCACCAAAUUCUUAGAGCAGUAGCGGCAGAAGAAACGAAGGGAGGGAAGGAUGAAGAAAGGGAGCCGGAGAAAAGAGAGAGAGAGAGGAAGAAGAAAAGGAAAUCUAGACUAACCAGUCAUCUCGAACAAUCGCACAUUCAACACAGGACUGGGGGAUCUAGGCUUUACUCCAACAUCUGCAGAAAUCAGCGAAUUCUUCAAAAGUUCUUCAUUGUAAUUAGCUGAAAUUUGUGUUCCUGUAACUUUCACUGGCUACUGCUAGUUUUGUCCUGUGGGACCACAAAGAAUCUGUCUAAGCUGUGUUGCCUGAUCCAUACCUGUUCUUUCCUUCAAACUUCUUUAGCAUUCAUUGUUGGUAACACACCAAUAAAUUAUCAUAUUUACCCUGU
rnacentral:lncRNA from 1 species